CAAUAGCGUAUAUUAAAGUUGUUGCAGUUAAAAAGCUCGUAGUUGGAUUUCUGGUCGGAAGCUCCUGUCCUCUGAUGAGCGUACAAGUGCGUCCUACCAUCCUUCUGUUAACCUUUAAGGCUUUCGCGGCUUUCUAGGGGCUCAGAUAUUUUACCUUGAGAAAAUUAGAGUGUUUCAGGCAGGCUAGCGCCGGAAUACAUUAGCAUGGAAUAAUGGAAUAGGACUUUUGCCUCUUCUGUUGGUCAUGAGGCUCGAGUAAUGAUUAAUAGGGAUAGUUGGGGCAUUAGUACUUAACUGUCAGAGGUGAAAUUCUCGGAUUCGUUAAAGACUAACUUAUGCGAANGNAUUUGCNAAGGAUGUUUNCAUUA
rnacentral:rRNA from 1 species